UGGGGAAUAUUGCACAAUGGGGGAAACCCUGAUGCAGCGACGCCGCGUGAGCGAUGAAGGCUUUCGAGUCGUAAAGCUCUGUCCUAUGGGAAGAUAAUGACGGUACCAUAGAAGAAAGCCCCGGCUAAUUACGUGCCAGCAGCCGCGGUAAUACGUAAGGGGCGAGCGUUGUCCGGAAUUAUUGGGCGUAAAGAGCUCGUAGGCGGUUUGUCGCGUCUGCUGUGAAAGACCGGGGCUUAACUCCGGGGCUGCAGUGGGUACGGGCAGGCUGGAGUGCGGUAGGGGUAACCGGAAUUCCUGGUGUAGCGGUGGAAUGCGCAGAUAUCAGGAGGAACACCGAUGGCGAAGGCAGGUUACUGGGCCGUUACUGACGCUGAGGAGCGAAAGCAUGGGGAGCGAACAGG
rnacentral:rRNA from 1 species